rnacentral:lncRNA from 1 species
CAAUAGAAUGAAAUUCAAAACAGUGUGGCUGUGGCCAUUGAUUGACACAUUAAAUUCAUCCAUUGACUGGGACAAUUUACGUGAACGUUUGUCUGCAACGACCACUGUUCACGACGUACCUACGAUAGACAUUUAAACUGUGGGGUCACCAAAGGUUUCUUAACGCCUUUAAUUAUAAAAUAAUUCGAAAAAUUAAUCAGGAAUAACCUUUAUGUUUUGAUUUAUAUAAUUGAUAUAAAUCAAAACAUCGUGUUAUUUCUGAUUAAUUUUU